rnacentral:lncRNA from 1 species
CAACGUGGACCAACUGUCGCCAACAUCUACUACAAAGGCUCAUUAAGACUCAUGUUGAUGUGUUAAUCAAACUCCAGCAACCUCACUGUGAGUAGUAGUAUCAUCUCAGAUCAAAGAAUCAGUCAUACAACUACAGCAUCGAGAAAGUCACUAACGAGUGAGCAGACAUCCACGUGACUUCUUGUGUUGGUCACACUCAGUGCUAAUUGUUCUUUAAUAACCACC